GCCUAGUUAGCUUAGUUGGUAGUCCGUCUGCCUUGUAAGCGCUAGGCCGCGGGUUCGAUUCCCGCCCGGGGCG
rfam:Asian citrus Psyllid, Diaphorina citri - Florida Strain, whole genome shotgun sequence.